rnacentral:rRNA from 1 species
GCAAGUCGAGGGGUAACAUGAGAGCUUGCUCUUGAUGACGACCGGCGCACGGGUGCGUAACGCGUAUGCAACCUACCCUGUACUGGAGGAUAGCCCGAAGAAAUUCGGAUUAACACUCCAUAGUAAUUAUUAACCGCAUGGUUUGAUAAUUUAAAGGUUACGGUACAGGAUGGGCAUGCGUCCCAUUAGCUUGAUGGUAAGGUAACGGCUUACCAUGGCAACGAUGGGUAGGGGGCCUGAGAGGGUGAUC